GAACUGCGAUAAGUAAUGUGAAUUGCAGAAUUCAGUGAAUCAUCGAGUCUUUGAACGCACAUUGCGCCCCCUGGCAUUCCGGGGGGCAUGCCUGUCCGAGCGUCAUUGCUGCCCUUCAAGCCCGGCUUGUGUGUUGGGUCGUCGUCCCCUCCGGGGGACGGGCCCGAAAGGCAGCGGCGGCACCGCGUCCGGUCCUCGAGCGUAUGGGGCUUUGUCACCCGCUCGAUCAGGACCGGCCGGGCGCCAGCCGGCGUCUCCAACCUUUUUUUCUCAGGUUGACCUCGGAUCAGGUAGGGAUACCCGCUGAACUUAAGC
rnacentral:misc_RNA from 1 species